GCCCUUAGAGUUUGAUCCUGGCUCAGAUUGAACGCUAGCGGCAUGCCUUACACAUGCAAGUCGAACGGCAGCGCGGGGGCAACCCUGGCGGCGAGUGGCGAACGGGUGAGUAAUGCAUCGGAACGUGCCCAACGAUGGGGGAUAACUGCGCGAAAGCGUUGCUAAUACCGCAUACGACCUACGGGUGAAAGCAGGGGACCGCAAGGCCUUGCGUCGAUGGAGCGGCCGAUGUCGGAUUAGCUAGUUGGUGAGGUAAAGGCUCACCAAGGCGACGAUCCGUAGCUGGUCUGAGAGGACGACCAGCCACACUGGGACUGAGACACGGCCCAGACUCCUGCGGGAGGCAGCAGUGGGGAAUCUUGGACAAUGGGCGCAAGCCUGAUCCAGCAAUGCCGCGUGUGGGAAGAAGGCCUUCGGGUUGUAAACCACUUUUGGCAGGAAAGAAAUCGUCCGUGCUAAUACCAUGGAUGGAUGACGGUACCUGCAGAAUAAGCACCGGCUAACUACGUGCCAGCAGCCGCGGUAAUACGUAGGGUGCGAGCGUUAAUCGGAAUUACUGGGCGUAAAGCGUGCGCAGGCGGUUGGGAAAGAUCGAUGUGAAAUCCCCGGGCUUAACCUGGGAAUGGCAUGGAUGACUAUCCGACUGGAGUACGGUAGAGGGGAGUGGAAUUCCGCGUGUAGCAGUGAAAUGCGUAGAUAUGCGGAGGAACACCGAUGGCGAAGGCAGCUCCCUGGACCUGUACUGACGCUCAUGCACGAAAGCGUGGGGAGCAAACAGGAUUAGAUACCCUGGUAGUCCACGCCCUAAACGAUGUCAACUGGUUGUUGGACGGGCAACUGUUCAGUAACGAAGCUAACGCGUGAAGUUGACCGCCUGGGGAGUACGGCCGCAAGGUUAAAACUCAAAUGAAUUGACGGGGAAGGGC
rnacentral:rRNA from 1 species